GACGAACGCUGGCGGCGUGCUUAACACAUGCAAGUCGAGCGGUAAGGCCCCUUCGGGGGUACACGAGCGGCGAACGGGUGCGUAACACGUGAGCAAUCUGCCCAUCACAUCGGGAUAACCCCGGGAAACCGAAGCUAAUACCGAAUACGACCACCUCCGGCAUCGGAUGGUGGUGGAAAGUUCCGGCGGUGAUGGAUGAGCUCGCGGCCUAUCAGCUUGUUGGUGGGGUAACGGCCCACCAAGGCUUCGACGGGUAGCCGGCCUGAGAGGGUGACCGGCCACACUGGGACUGAGACACGGCCCAGACUCCUACGGGAGGCAGCAGUGGGGAAUAUUGGACAAUGGGCGAAAGCCUGAUCCAGCAACGCCGCGUGAGGGAUGACGGCCUUCGGGUUGUAAACCUCUUUCAGCAGGGACGAAGCGCAAGUGACGGUACCUGCAGAAGAAGCACCGGCCAACUACGU
rnacentral:rRNA from 1 species